rnacentral:rRNA from 1 species
GACGAACGCUGGCGGCGUGCUUAACACAUGCAAGUCGAACGGAAAGGCCCUGCUUUUGUGGGGUGCUCGAGUGGCGAACGGGUGAGUAACACGUGAGUAACCUGCCCUUGACUUUGGGAUAACUUCAGGAAACUGGGGCUAAUACCGGAUAGGAGCUCCUGCUGCAUGGUGGGGGUUGGAAAGUUUCGGCGGUUGGGGAUGGACUCGCGGCUUAUCAGCUUGUUGGUGGGGUAGUGGCUUACCAAGGCUUUGACGGGUAGCCGGCCUGAGAGGGUGACCGGGAUAAGUGGGAAACAGGGACGGCCGGGACGACUCCGGGGGCGGGAAGGGGGGCAGAGGGAUGACUGGGGCGAAGUGGGACGCAGCGUCGCCGCAUGAGGGAGGGUGGGGGUAGGAGGGGAAAAAGCUCUCGCCGGGGAAGAAGCGGCAGUGACGGUACUGGGUAAAGAAGCACCGGCUCACUACGCG